rfam:Lactobacillus collinoides DSM 20515 = JCM 1123 strain DSM 20515 NODE_2, whole genome shotgun sequence.
UCCAUCGUGAGGUGGAAUCUGAAGGAAGUCGGCGACAAAGUACCGCAUUGAUGUACAAGAAUCAGCUAUAAGGCUGUGUUGGUCGGACGAGGUUGCCAAACAAACCAAAGUCCAAUACUACUCGAGGCCAUCGCAGUAAAGCUGGCAAUGACAUGGUACGAAAGUGGGCGUU